UAGACUGAAUAUCGGUGGUUGUGUU
rnacentral:sRNA from 1 species